rnacentral:rRNA from 1 species
CACGGAGUUAGCCGGGGCUUAUUCUCCCGGUACUGUCAUUAUCAUCCCGGGUAAAAGAGCUUUACAACCCUAAGGCCUUCAUCACUCACGCGGCAUUGCUGGAUCAGGCUUUCGCCCAUUGUCCAAUAUUCCCCGCUGCUGCCUCCCGUAGGAGUCUGGGCCGUGUCUCAGUCCCAGUGUGGCUGAUCAUCCUCUCAGACCAGCUAAGGAUCGUCGCCUUGGUAGGCCUUUACCCCACCAACAAGCUAAUCCUACGCGGGCUCAUCCCUCGGCGAUAAAUCUUUGGACCGAAGUCAUUAUCCGGUAUUAGCUCAAGUUUCCCUGAGUUAUUCCGAACCGAAGGGCAGAUUCCCAGCGUUACGCACCCGUGCGCCACUAGACCCGAAGGUCUCGUUCGACUUGCAUGUGUUAGGCAUGCCGCCAGCGUUGUUCUGAGCCAGGAUCAAACUCU